UACGUAGGUGGCAAGCGUUGUCCGGAAUUAUUGGGCGUAAAGCGCGCGCAGGUGGUUUCUUAAGUCUGAUGUGAAAGCCCACGGCUCAACCGUGGAGGGUCAUUGGAAACUGGGGAACUUGAGUGCAGGAGAGAAGAGUGGAAUUCCACGUGUAGCGGUGAAAUGCGUAGAGAUGUGGAGGAACACCAGUGGCGAAGGCAGCUCGCUGGCCUAAAACUGACGCUGAGGCGCGAAAGCGUGGGGAGCAAACAGG
rnacentral:rRNA from 1 species